rnacentral:rRNA from 1 species
UGGCUGGUGUUCUAACGUAGACCCGUAAUCCGGGUUGCGGACAGUGUCUGGUGGGUAGUUUGACUGGGGCGGUCUCCUCCCAAAGAGUAACGGAGGAGCACGAAGGUUAGCUAAUCCUGGUCGGACAUCAGGAGGUUAGUGCAAUGGCAUAAGCUAGCUUGACUGCGAGAGUGACGGCUCGAGCAGGUGCGAAAGCAGGUCAUAGUGAUCCGGUGGUUCUGAAUGGAAGGGCCAUCGCUCAACGGAUAAAAGGUACUCCGGGGAUAACAGGCUGAUACCGCCCAAGAGUUCAUAUCGACGGCGGUGUUUGGCACCUCGAUGUCGGCUCAUCACAUCCUGGGG